rnacentral:rRNA from 1 species
UGCGUAGGCGGCUGAUUAAGUCGGAUGUGAAAUCCCUGAGCUUAACUUAGGAAUUGCAUUCGAUACUGGUCAGCUAGAGUAUGGGAGAGGAUGGUAGAAUUCCAGGUGUAGCGGUGAAAUGCGUAGAGAUCUGGAGGAAUACCGAUGGCGAAGGCAGCCAUCUGGCCUGCACUGACGCUCAUGCACGAAAGCGUGGGGAGCAAACAGGAUUAGAUACCCGCGUA